rnacentral:rRNA from 1 species
UGGGGAAUAUUGGACAAUGGGGGAAACCCUGAUCCAGCAAUGCCGCGUGAGUGAGGAAGGCCUUAGGGUUGUAAAGCUCUUUCGCCCGCGACGAUGAUGACGGUAGCGGGAGAAGAAGCCCCGGCUAACUUCGUGCCAGCAGCCGCGGUAAUACGAAGGGGGCGAGCGUUGUUCGGAUUUACUGGGCGUAAAGGGCGCGUAGGCGGCCAUUUUUGUCGAGUGUGAAAGCCCCGGGCUCAACCUGGGAACUGCGCUCGAAACGGGAUGGCUAGAGAUCGGGAGAGGAGCGUGGAAUUCCCAGUGUAGAGGUGAAAUUCGUAGAUAUUGGGAAGAACACCGGUGGCGAAGGCGGCGCUCUGGACCGAUACUGACGCUGAGGCGCGAAAGCGUGGGGAGCAAACAGGAUUAGAUACCCCCGUAGUCC